rnacentral:rRNA from 1 species
GGUUACUGCUAUCGGUGUUCGCCUAAGCCAUGCGAGUCAUAUGUUCUUCGGAACAUGGCAUACUGCUCAGUAACACGUGGAUAACCUGCCCUUGGGUCCGGCAUAACCCCGGGAAACUGGGGAUAAUUCCGGAUAACGCACAUAUGCUGGAAUGCUUUAUGCGUCAAAUGGAUUCGUCCGCCCAAGGAUGGGUCUGCGGCCUAUCAGGUAGUAGUGGGUGUAAUGUACCUACUAGCCUACGACGGGUACGGGUUGUGAGAGCAAGAGCCCGGAGAUGGAUUCUGAGACAUGAAUCCAGGCCCUACGGGGCGCAGCAGGCGCGAAAACUUUACAAUGCGGGAAACCGUGAUAAGGGGACACCGAGUGCCAGCAUCCUAUGCUGGCUGUCCGGGUGUGUAAAAUACACCUGUCAGCAAGGGCCGGGCAAGACCGGUGCCAGCCGCCGCGGUAACACCGGCGGCCCGAGUGGUGAUCGUGAUUAUUGGGUCUAAGGGGUCCGUAGCCGGUUUGGUCAGUCCUCCGGGAAAUCUGACAGCUCAACUGUUAGGCUUUCGGAGGAUACUGCCAGACUUGGAACCGGGAGAGGUAAGAGGUACUACAGGGGUAGGAGUGAAAUCUUGUAAUCCCUGUGGGACCACCUGUGGCGAAGGCGUCUUACCAGAACGGGUUCGACGGUGAGGGACGAAAGCUGGGGGCACGAACCGGAUUAGAUACCCGGGUAGUCCCAGCCGUAAACGAUGCUCGCUAGGUGUCAGGCAUGGCGCGACCGUGUCUGGUGCCGCAGGGAAGCCGUGAAGCGAGCCACCUGGGAAGUACGGCCGCAAGGCUGAAACUUAA